rnacentral:rRNA from 1 species
UACGGGGGGGGCAAGCGUUGUUCGGAAUUACUGGGCGUAAAGGGCUCGUAGGCGGCCCACUAAGUCAGACGUGAAAUCCCCAGGCUCAACCUGGGAACUGCGUCUGAUACUGGAUGGCUUGAAUUCGGGAGAGGGAUGCAGAAUUCCAGGUGUAGCGGUGAAAUGCGUAGAUAUCUGGAGGAAUACCGGUGGCGAAGGCGGCAUCCUGGACCGACAUUGACGCUGAUGAGCGAAAGCUAGGGGAGCAAACGGG